AUUACAUAAAUAACAGUUGUGGAGGUUGCAUUAGCUGUAAUCCCAGCACUCGGAAGGCAGAGGCAAGAGGGUUGCUACAAGAUGGAGCCAGUUUCGUGAGUUCCAGGCCAGCCAUGACUAGUGACACCUUGUCCCAAAAAACAGGCGCAUCCUGCCAAACGCUUUCUUCCUUAAGUGCCGGCCAUCUGGUGGUGAGUGAAUGUCACACUCACACCUGAGGACGUCUGCUUGCUCUGUGAUGCUCUGGAAGGGUUAAACAGCAGUCUCGUUUCUUCUUAGCUCCUCCUUUUUCUGGUACCUCAGUCAAUCCAGCUUCUCUGUGCCCUGGGGCAGCUCCAUGGCAGAGGCCUCUCCUCAGUUAGCCAGACUAUUUGGCCAGACUUCGGCAGGAAGACACAUCGCACGGUCUGGGUCCAAAAGACUGCCUCUGAGCAGGGCCCAACGGAGAAGAGAGGCAGGAAAGCAACAGGAACUGUCUCCUGGACCACUGCCCAGCUGGAUUGCCUGCAGGCAGCUGUGUCGAGCCUUUUCGUGAUUGAUCCCAUCCUGGGCAGGCGUCCUCUGCGGUGUAAGAAAGCAAACUGAGCAAGCCGCAGAAAGCAAGCUGUAAGCAGCUCUCUUCCAAAGGCCUGGGCUGCAGCUCCUGCCUCCAAGGUUCUUGCCUUGAGUUCCUGCCCCGACUCCCCUCAGUGAUGCAGGGUGACC